GUCAACUACCCCGCUCUAAAGAGCGAGGCUUGAUAAAAGCCUUGGUUGACUAGCCUCAGACCGCCCAAAAGGCGGGCUACGUUGGUUGGGAAUGUAUAGGCACCGCGGGAUGUCAAUCCUAGUCCCGCGCUCUGC
rnacentral:sRNA from 1 species